rnacentral:tRNA from 1 species
GGCAGUGUGGUUCAGUAGAUAGAACACUGGAGCAGGUGUCAGGUAACGAGGGUUCUAUUCCUACCUCUCCCA